AAUUUAAUUUUAAUAAAAGUUUUAUUUAUAUUCAGUAAUUAUCAAAAUGGGGAAAAUAAAUGCAUUUUAUCCAUAUUGGAUGUGUUGGCUGGCCUUUGAGCAUGGCACCUGUUAAGGAUGGGUGACACCUGUUAUACUAUCUGUCUCCUCUUUGCCACCUCUCUCUCUCCCUCUCUCCUAUUACGUUAAAAGAAGUAAAACGAAGCUGAAAGGCAAUUUUUGCCUAAUAGAAUGACGACCCUAGAAGAAAUUGAUCCAGCUCCGGCAACCGCCGACCUGAUAUCCGCGGCCGUGGCGGACGAGGCAACGGUGGCGGUUUCAGCGGACGGAGAAUUGGACCCAGAAAUAAAUAUUGAUUUUCAGGUGGAUCCAGCUUAUGCUACUUCCAAACAACUCAAGCUAAUUCAAUUUAUGACUAGCUACUUGUUCAUGCAAUUAAAUUAUUUUCUUUUUGUUGCUGAAAUCUAUGACUCCAUUUGGUCUCUUUAUUUUUUAAAGAUUUUUUUUAACUGCUUUAAUCUUCGAUUUUUUCGUCUUUUAGUAAAUUUUUUUAAUUAUUUAGAAACACUUUCAUGUAAUUUGAAAAAAAGACUUAAAAAAUUAUUUUUACUCCAUAAAUUAGCUAUAUUUUUUUUUUCAAAUUGUCACAAAUUAUCAAGAGAAACAGAAAAAUAUAAAAUUUUUGAGCUUUUCGUUUAAAUUUGAAAGAUUUUGAUUGUGGCAACUUAGAAAGUAAUAAUUAUCUUUAUGUUUUAUGUUUUCCUGUUUUUGUAAAUUAUUCUAGACUUUUGGUUUUGUUAAGGGACAAGGUAAAAUUUUCUAAUUAUUUUUAAAGCUAAAUUUGUUCUAUUCAAGAAAUAAAUGUCUGUAAAAUAAUAUCCAGUUAUCAUGUGUGGUUAAUGGAUAUUAGGGGAAGGAAUCAGUUUUCAUUAAAACCUCAUUUCUUGCAUUUUGGCUUUUUAUAAACACGAGUUAAGACAAUGAUCAAAACUAAUGACUAAUGACAUUCCCACUGGUUUAUAAAUGCACUCCAAAAUAUCACUUGCACGGUUACCAUUGCGAACACGAAUAUAAUUUUUGGGGUGCAAUUAUAGACCAAAUUCAAAAAUAAAUGGUACAAAUUUACUUGAUUAUAUAACUUCACACAUUUGGAAUUUAGAAACAAUUUCAGCGCCCCUCUUUAGAUAAGAAGCAAAGCACGCCCCCUCCCGAGGGAGAAUAGAAAGAGUGACGGCUCAUUCAUCAUGAUAAGACUUCGUUCAUUUUGAAUUUUGAAAUUUUUUGACUUCGUUCAUUUUGAAUUUUGAAAUUUUUUAGGUCCAAACUUGGAAUCGUAGCACUGCUGGGGUGGGAAUAUCAGUUUUCAUUCAAAUUGCUUCCAUUGAAGAUGAGUGAUACUAACUCAUUCAAUCCAUGAAGAUACAACGUGAAACCAAUUACAAAUCUUGGGUCCCCUUUGCAAUGAACAUACAUUGUCAUCGAUUGGAUUUGGAUUUAUUAUUCUUCCUUGGGAGGAGCCAUCCGAGGCGGCAAGCGUGAACAAAGACGGUAUCCCGAUCGCUCAAAUCGGCUGUUAUAAUUUCCGGGGCUGUGGCGGCAGCGCUCGGAGUUAUAUUUUUUGUGGCCAAGAAGGUAAAAGAGGCAAGAGAUUGACUUGCAGGAAGUUUGUAGGCCUGCACAUUGCCUCCAUAUAUACCUUUGUGGUGGACUGCCAUUUUAACUAUUGCAAACUUUUGUUUUUGGGCAGAGUAUGGUUAUCACUCUGCACGUUGAAUUGUGUUCCUUAUCCAUCAGUUUGGUUGUCUGCUAUACACUGUUGGCAAGGGGAAAAAAUGUGUUUUUUUGUACGUUCAUUGGGUCUGCUAAUAAAGAUAAAGAGCAAAGCAGAUUAGGAUUGACAACCAACUUUUUUGGUUGAGUUGUCUUUUGGAUCAAAGAUUUAAUAAAUAAAAAUGAAUAAAAAUUAAAUAAUUCAAUAAUUUUAAACGGUUAAAUUGUCUAUAAUUUUUUUUACCAUAAAAGUCGACUGUGUCAUCGACUUUGGCAGGAGGUUAGAGCAUCUCCGACACCCUUUUUCCUUUCUCUAAAUUUUUAAAAAAUAGAGGAUAAACCGUGUUUAAAGAUUUUUUUUUAUUUUCUCUUUCAACAAUAAUUUCUAUUUUUUUAUUUUUUAAUAUAAUAUUUUUUUAUCUUCUUGACAGCUUUUUUUUCUCCCCUCCACGCUCUUCUUCCAAACCCAAUUCAAUACCAUGAACAAAUCCCUCCAAAACCAUCUCCCUAGCAAAACAGAAGAUAGGUUUGUGCUUGGUACUUGUUAUGAAGUAAGAUGACAUAUCAUUAUAAACUUUGAACCAGGAAGAAAUUUUAGCCAUCAAGCACAAUUGUCACCGGAUACAAACAAAACACAGCUAAAUUCCGGUGAAAAAGUGCAGAUAAAUUCUCCUCUCUCCAACCAAUUUUGAUUAACGGUGCAGAAAACCAGAGAGAGUGCUCUUAGUAC
rnacentral:lncRNA from 1 species